UUUUUUUAUUCACCACAUGGCACACAUAUAACAAUUAAAUUUAUGAAGACUUAAGACACAUACUCGAAAUAUGUUUGGAAUUUUCCGGAUUUCGAUGAAAUCUUGGUCGGAUCAAAAUUUAGUGGUCAUAUUCGGAUUCAGCACCUGAAAACCAAUUAAGAUCGUGUUUCCAGCCCAAUCUGGCCAUUAGUUUCUGAGAAAAAAGCAAAUAAAGUUAACAUGUUGAAAAAUUGAAGUUUUGAAUAUGUGGACUCCCUAAAGAAUGGUAGAUGUCUACAAAUAAUUCCUCCGGCGUAAAUGAACUAUUGUCACCUUCAACAAAUAUAGUAACAAUUUCCUAUAUUGAGUGGAAUUGUCCUUUUUCGGUUUGAUUAAAUGAUGUGUCAAUAACACCUGUUGCCACACUUCUACCAAGUCGCAAUCACUUCUUUAAAUGCUAUAAUUGUUCAGAAGAACUGUCGAAAAUCUGAGAAAGUACAGCAACAGAAUAUUGAUGAAAGUUAUAAAGAAACUAUAGCAGGAACAAUCGAUAAUGUUUGUUAAGUAAAUAAAAAUCUAGUUUUCAACGACUCAAUAAUUUCCUGUUUCCAUUCCAGAGUGAAAAAUCAUGUGGUUAAUGAGACAACCUAAUAUUUAUAAAAAAUAAAGAAAUUGAAGUCAUUAUAAUCCUCAAAAAACAUUUCAAAUAAUAUACAACAAUAGACAUCUCAACAAUAACGACACCAUUGCUUUAAUCACUAAAGCUAGUAAUUCAAAAUCAAUUUCUCCAAGGACCCAAUAGAUCAGUUAACAGAAUCCACUACUAAACAAAAACGUCAACAUCAACAAUCUUAACAAACAUAAUGAGCAAUAAAACAAAUCUAUUAUAAUUGACCACAUUGAUCAAGCGACAACAUCUAUCCAAAAUCUUACCUAAAGGCAAAAUUCAAGGCAAACACCAAAUCAACCAUCAACAAAACAACAAACGGCAAAUAAGAUCUAUGUAGAUGAAAUAAUGGAAAUAUUUUCCAUUUUCUUUUUAUUAUUGUGGCAUUCUUAAUAAAAUGAUACUCUAAUAACAGCUGUUUACCAAUGAUGCCAUAAAUUUUUCUCCAAAUAAAUAACUGACAAACAUUUGUUUUAUUUUCCUAUUGACAAACAACAUAUGGCGACACUUUUAAAAACAUUUGAUUUUCUUACACUCAGAUGGCGCACAUAUAACAACGAUCCAACGACACUUUUAAAAACAUUUGAUUAAUUUUCUUACACUCAGAUGGCGCACAUAUAACAACAGUCCUUUUUAUUUAUUUUUUUAUUCACCACAUGGCACACAUAUAACAAUUAAAUUUAUGAAGACUUAAGACACAUACUCGAAAUAUGUUUGGAAUUUUCCGGAUUUCGAUGAAAUCUUGGUCGGAUCAAAAUUUAGUGGUCAUAUUCGCAUUCAGCACCUGAAAACCAAUUAAGAUCGUGUUUCCAGCCCAAUCUGGCCAUUAGUUUCUGAGAAAAAAGCAAAUAAAGUUAACAUGUUGAAAAAUUGAAGUUUUGAAUAUGUGGACUCCCUAAAGAAUGGUAGAUGUCUACAAAUAAUUCCUCCGGCGUAAAUGAACUAUUGUCACCUUCAACAAAUAUAGUAACAAUUUCCUAUAUUGAGUGGAAUUGUCCUUUUUCGGUUUGAUUAAAUGAUGUGUCAAUAACACCUGUUGCCACACUUCUAC